CUUCACUAAGUUCCCAGGGAGGGAAACCAGAAAUUCUUUUAAUGCUGACUAUGAAUUUGAUGAAGUCUGAGUUUCUCUUCUGUCACAAAGUAACAGAAAUAUAUAAGGUUACAAUCAAUAUGGAAAUCAAGGCCUACAGAAUUAAAGCAGCCACCCUUCCAUUCCCACAGGAACUGACCACCAUUUGCUGAGUCAUUUUUAUUGGAUUCAGACCUUAAGAAAGACUCUGGAGGAUUUGGAAAUUCUAAGUAGACUUUGCCAUAGCAACUUCAAUGAACAAAUUCUUCUCUGACAGUGGUUCAUUUGCAUCUGAGGAUGGUUUGGGUCCAGAGCACGGAGGCAACUUUUCAGAGAUGCAGCAGGCAGAGGGCUGAACCAGUUUCUAAGAAAAGAUUCCUGAGCCUGGACCCGGUAGCAUUUGAAAUCCCUGGAGAUGUCCAGGUGAAGCUUCCAUACAACCUCAAAGUGAAGAGACUUACAAGUGAGUUCAGCAUCUCAUUCCUUUGGCAUCAAGGAGCUCUGGUUCAUUCAAAGACUCCAUCUGUUUGAGACCUCCUCCAGGACAGAAGCUGACUGGAACCAUGGAUGUCACCAGAUGCCUGGAAGAUGCUUCUUCAUCUUUCUCCCAUGAACUCAUCUCUGGAUCAUGCAGUGUGUGUGUGUAGUAUUCACUGAGUUCUCACCAUCAUACCUGAGGAGAUAGAGCCAUACAGAGGACAAGAAUGACUGUCCCAGGUGGUCUCAUGUUGGAAAGCUGGGACAGAGAUUGAAUCCAUGACUCUCCUUCCAGAACUGUGAGCUCUCUGCAGUACCAUCUUUACUCUGACAGAUAGUAGGUACGCAUAGAAACAGAAGAUACUAGUGUAUGACAGGACCCAUAAAUGGGAGCCCAUUCCAUCUUGCCAUGAGUUCAGAAAG
rnacentral:lncRNA from 1 species